rnacentral:rRNA from 1 species
UUUUCAUCAGACAAUCUGUGUGAGCACUGCAAAGUACGCUUCUUUAAGGUAAGGAGGUGAUCCAACCGCAGGUUCCCCUACGGUUACCUUGUUACGACUUCACCCCAGUCAUGAAUCACAAAGUGGUAAGCGCCCUCCCGAAGGUUAAGCUACCUACUUCUUUUGCAACCCACUCCCAUGGUGUGACGGGCGGUGUGUACAAGGCCCGGGAACGUAUUCACCGUGGCAUUCUGAUCCACGAUUACUAGCGAUUCCGACUUCAUGGAGUCGAGUUGCAGACUCCAAUCCGGACUACGACGCACUUUAUGAGGUCCGCUUGCUCUCGCGAGGUCGCUUCUCUUUGUAUGCGCCAUUGUAGCACGUGUGUAGCCCUGGUCGUAAGGGCCAUGAUGACUUGACGUCAUCCCCACCUUCCUCCAGUUUAUCACUGGCAGUCUCCUUUGAGUUCCCGGCCGGACCGCUGGCAACAAAGGAUAAGGGUUGCGCUCGUUGCGGGACUUAACCCAACAUUUCACAACACGAGCUGACGACAGCCAUGCAGCACCUGUCUCACGGUUCCCGAAGGCACAUUCUCAUCUCUGAAAACUUCCGUGGAUGUCAAGACCAGGUAAGGUUCUUCGCGUUGCAUCGAAUUAAACCACAUGCUCCACCGCUUGUGCGGGCCCCCGUCAAUUCAUUUGAGUUUUAACCUUGCGGCCGUACUCCCCAGGCGGUCUACUUAACGCGUUAGCUCCGGAAGCCACGCCUCAAGGGCACAACCUCCAAGUAGACAUCGUUUACGGCGUGGACUACCAGGGUAUCUAAUCCUGUUUGCUCCCCACGCUUUCGCACCUGAGCGUCAGUCUUUGUCCAGGGGGCCGCCUUCGCCACCGGUAUUCCUCCAGAUCUCUACGCAUUUCACNNNNNNNNNNNNNNNNNNNNCCUGGAAUUCUACCCCCCUCUACAAGACUCAAGCCUGCCAGUUUCGAAUGCAGUUCCCAGGUUGAGCCCGGGGAUUUCACAUCCGACUUGACAGACCGCCUGCGUGCGCUUUACGCCCAGUAAUUCCGAUUAACGCUUGCACCCUCCGUAUUACCGCGGCUGCUGGCACGGAGUUAGCCGGUGCUUCUUCUGCGGGUAACGUCAAUUGCUGCGGUUAUUAACCACAACACCUUCCUCCCCGCUGAAAGUACUUUACAACCCGAAGGCCUUCUUCAUACACGCGGCAUGGCUGCAUCAGGCUUGCGCCCAUUGUGCAAUAUUCCCCACUGCUGCCUCCCGUAGGAGUCUGGACCGUGUCUCAGUUCCAGUGUGGCUGGUCAUCCUCUCAGACCAGCUAGGGAUCGUCGCCUUGGUGAGCCGUUACCUCACCAACAAGCUAAUCCCAUCUGGGCACAUCUGAUGGCAAGAGGCCCGAAGGUCCCCCUCUUUGGUCUUGCGACGUUAUGCGGUAUUAGCCACCGUUUCCAGUAGUUAUCCCCCUCCAUCAGGCAGUUUCCCAGACAUUACUCACCCGUCCGCCACUCGUCAGCAAAGCAGCAAGCUGCUUCCUGUUACCGUUCGACUUGCAUGUGUUAGGCCUGCCGCCAGCGUUCAAUCUGAGCCAUGAUCAAACUCUUCAAUUUAAAAGUUUGAUGCUCAAUGAAUUAAACUUCGUAAUGAAUUACGUGUUCACUCUUGAGACUUGGUAUUCAUUUUUCGUCNNNNNNNNNNNNNNNNNNNNCACUCUUGAGACUUGGUAUUCAUUUUUCGUCCGAGGACGUCAAGAAUCCGUAUCUUCGAGUGCCCACACAGAUUGUCUGAUAAAUUGUUAAAGAGCAGGUGCGACGCGGCUUUCAGCUCAUCGUCGCGAGGUGGCGUAUAUUACGCUUUCCUCUUUCAGAGUCAA